rnacentral:lncRNA from 1 species
UGAAUAAUCAAUGGAUGAUGGAAUGGCUAAGGGGUUCUUCUCCACACAUGAAAUAUAUGCAAUCUAAAUCAAUUUUCAGUUAUCAAUUUAAUAAGUUAUGAAUCUCGACAUUCCAAGUUAAUUAGGUCCACUUAAAUUAACCUUCAGAUUUCCCUAGAAUCAUUGAAUUGGAUGAAUAUGCAUCGCAAACAAAUUAUUCCCAACAAGUUCUUUAUAUGAACAGUGUGAUAAAGACACAAGUUAGAAUCAUUACGUUCUUUGGAAAUCAUAAGCAUCGACAAGGCAUUCGUAACUAUGAAAAGCAUGAUACUCUUGCCAGGUAUCUACUUAACACGAUCGUGACUAGCGACCUUCACUACUUACGAAUAUAAAUUCAUAACGAUUGAUAGGAGCAUAUUUAUGCGACUUAGUUGGCUUGUUCUUGUGCAUUUAUGUUGUGUCUCUUUAGUUAUUUUAGUGUUUAAAGUCAUUUUCGUGUGUUUUCAGAUUUUAAGGACAAAGUAGGCAAGAAGAUGCAUUUUGGAGCAUUUUGGAGCAAAAUGGAGCUUGGAAUGCAUGUCACAUAUUUGGAACCAAGGUUUGGACGAAAUUGAAGAAUUAAAGAGGCUAAGAAUGUGAAGAAUUAAUGUACAAAGAAUCAAGAAUUCAGCCACAAAAGAACACCCACUCCUUGCCGUGUAACCACAUAGCAUUCCCUUUGGAUUCCCAUGCAUGCUUAAUCAUCCUUGUCCCCUAAAAUAUUUCUGAUUUCAUGCCUCAAUUCACUCAAUUAUCAUACUCAAUUGCUGCAUACCUCUUGUUCCCUUCACCCAUCAGAUUUCACACAACUUUCACAACCAUUCCAU